GACGAACGCUGGCGGCGUGCUUAACACAUGCAAGUCGAACGGUGAAGCGCCUUCCUUUUUGGUGGGUGUGGAUGAGUGGCGAACGGGUGAGUAACACGUGAGUAACCUGCCCCCUUCUUCUGGAUAACCGCAUGAAAGUGUGGCUAAUACGGGAUAUUCUGGGUCUGUCGCAUGAUGGGUCUGGGAAAGAUAUUGUUUCGGUGGGGGAUGGGCUCGCGGCCUAUCAGCUUGUUGGUGGGGUGAUGGCCUACCAAGGCGGUGACGGGUAGCCGGCCUGAGAGGGUGGACGGUCACACUGGGACUGAGACACGGCCCAGACUCCUACGGGAGGCAGCAGUGGGGAAUAUUGCACAAUGGGCGCAAGCCUGAUGCAGCGACGCCGCGUGAGGGAUGGAGGCCUGCGGGUUGCGAACCUCUUUCGCCAGUGAAGCAGGCCUGCCUCGUUUGUGGGUGGGUUGACGGUAGCUGGACAAGAAGCGCCGGCUAACUACGUG
rnacentral:rRNA from 1 species